GGGGUUCCCUUUUCUCCACACCUUCUCCAGCAUUUGUUUAUUUGUUGAAUUGUUAAUGAUGGCCAUUCUGACCAGUGGUACCUCAUUGUACUUCACUGUAGUUUUGAUUUGCAUUUCUCUAAUAAUUAGUGAUGGUGAGCAUUUUCUCAUAUGUCUGUCGGCCAUCUGUAUAUCUGCUUUGGAGAAAUGUCUAUUCGGGUCUUCUGCCCAUUUUUCAAUUGUUUUUGUUUUGUUUUGUUUGUUUGUUUGUUUUUUGCUAUUGGGUUGUAUAAGUUUUUUGUAUGUUUUAGAGAUUAAGCCCUUGUCAGUUGUACCAUUUGAAACUAUUUUCUCCCAUGCCAUAGGUUGUCAUUUUUUUGUUUGUUUAUUUCCUUUGCUGUGCAAAAGCUUGUAAGUUUGAUUAGGUCCCAUUUGUUUAUUUUUGUUUUUAUUUCUAUUGCCUUGGGAGACUGACCUAAGAAAAGAGUUGUACAGUUGAUAUCAGAGAAGGAAAAAAUUUCUGAAAGAAACCAAAGGGAAAAAAACACCUGCUAUAUAGAGAAUCAAAGAUAAGAAUUAAUCCAACUUCUACACAGAAACCAUGCAAGCAAGAAGAGAAUGGAGUGAAUGUUACAAGUUUUCAGAGAAAAAGCUACCAACCCAGAAGUCUGUACUCUGCAAAAUUAUCCUUGAGAAGUAACAGAGAAAAAGACUUUCUCAGAGAAAAAAAAAAAAAAAAUUGAGGAAAUUUGUUGCCAACAGAACUGCCUUAGAAGAAAAGCUAAAAGAAGUUACAUAAAGAGAAGGAAAUUACCAUGGGUUGGAAACUCAGCUCUGCAUGAAGAAAGGAAGAGCAUCAAAGAAGGAAAAGUCAAGUUCUUGAUGCUGAGAGGUCCCAGAUCAAGGUACCAGCAGAUUCUGUUCCUAGGAGAACUCUCCUCCUGACUUGCAGACAGGCAGCUUGCUGUGUGUUCAGACAUGGAGAGAGGUGAGCUCUGAUUUCUUCCCCUUCUUAAAAGGGCCCUAAUUCCAUCCCAGGAGCCCCAUCCACAUCACCUAAUCUAAACCUAAUUAUCUACCAAAAACUGCUCCUCCAGCUACUGUCAUAUUAGUAGCUAGGGUUUCAAAAUAUGGGUUUGGGGAGGACACAUUCAAUCCAUAGAAAACACCACUGGGUUCUUUUGUGCCAGGUAUUUUCUAUUAAGUGGAGAAAUGGUUGAAAGUUGUCAGUAUGCAUACAACUGGUUUGGGUGCAGAGCCCAAAUGAAUGGUAGCACAGAGAGGUUUGUUUUCUAACCAGCCUCUUAAAUGAGCAUCAGCUAAAAGGGAAAGGAAAUUGAGGUCCCUCGAUAUUAGACCGUGCUUUUGCUGAGGGCAGUGCAGGGUCCUUUAAGGCCACAUUUGGAGACAGCACUAGACCUUUCUUUCCAUCCCUCAUCUGCUCCUCUGGACUCCAAAGCACUGCCUUGCUCCAAAAAGGAAAAUUAAAAACACAAAUUCUCAAGUGGUUUGAUAGUAAUUCAGCCCAGCAAAUUUUACUUUCCAUUAAAAGUCACCAGCUGUCAUGUGCUUCACUUUAAGUGGAAAUAACUUGCUCUCAAAGAACAUUUAUCAAUUGAUGUCACUUAUUAGUCUUAUUUUCUCCUAAUGAAAAAUGGAUUUGCAUUAGUGCGACUUUGGUGACAGGAAACCCCUGGAUGGAGGCUCAACUUGAUGAUCCACCCCCACCCUGGGGAAAGCUAAUUGCUCUACCAGCCAGCUCGGCGGAUUGACACUGCGGUCAGGGGAAGGGACUCUGGGGGAACAGAGCAGAGCAUUGGCGAUAAUGUUCGAUCCUCUUGCGAGGGAAUGAGCUCACAGUGCCUCUUCCCUUAAAAAACAAAUGAAAAAACUGCGAUUAAAAAUGCUGUAGAGCAGUUCUCUUGUGUUUGCAGCAGGUUGAGGAUCUGGCGUUGUCACUGUGGUGGCUCAGGUCACAGCUGGGGGUGGGUUUGUUCCCUGGCCUGGGAACCUCCACAUGCCGUGGGCACAACAACAACAACAACAAAAUCCUAUAUAGCACAGGGAACGCUAUUCAAUAUCCCGUGAUAACCUGUAUGGGAAAAGGAUCUGAAAAAAAAAAAAAAAAAA
rnacentral:lncRNA from 1 species